rnacentral:rRNA from 1 species
GAAUAUUGGACAAUGGGCGAAAGCCUGAUCCAGCCAUGCCGCGUGGGUGAAGAAGGCCCUAGGGUUGUAAAGCCCUUUCGGCGGGGACGAGGAUGACGGUACCCGCAGAAGAAGCCCCGGCUAACUUCGUGCCAGCAGCCGCGGUAAUACGAAGGGGGCUAGCGUUGCGCGGAAUUACUGGGCGUAAAGGGCGCGUAGGCUGCCAUGUUAGUCAGAUGUGAAACCCCCGGGCUCAACCUGGGAACUGCAUUUGAUACGGCAUGGCUUGAGGACGAGAGAGGGUGGUGGAACUCCCAGUGUAGAGGUGAAAUUCGUAGAUAUUGGGAAGAACACCAGUGGCGAAGGCGGCCACCUGGCUCGUUCCUGACGCUGAGGCGCGAAAGCGUGGGGAGCAAACAGG